GGAGAGAUUCCCGAGAUGGAUAAAGGGAUCAGACUGUAAAUCUGACGUUAAUUCUUCGCAGGUUCGAAUCCUGCUCUCUCCACCA
rnacentral:tRNA from 1 species